GUGUCAGCCGCCGCGGUAAUACGGAGGAUGCGAGCGUUAUCCGGAUUUAUUGGGUUUAAAGGGUGCGUAGGCGGAUGAAUAAGUCAGUGGUGAAACCCUGCAGCUUAACUGUAGACUUGCCAUUGAUACUGUUUAUCUUGAGUUUGGUCAAGGCAGGCGGAAUGUGUAAUGUAGCGGUGAAAUGCUUAGAUAUUACACAGAACACCGAUUGCGAAGGCAGCUUGCUGGGCCGACGCUGACGCUGGUGGACGAAAGCGUGGGGAUCGAACAGGAUUAGAUACCCUGGUAGUCCAAGCCGUAAACGAUGAUCACUAGCUGUUGGCGAUACACAGUCAGCGGCAAAGCAAAAGCAUUAAGUGAUCCACCUGGGGAGUACGGCCGCAAGGCUGAAACUUAAAGGAAUUGACGGGG
rnacentral:rRNA from 1 species